CUUCACGCACCUUCAAGUUGGUACCAAAAAAUGGCGGCAUGAACAUAAUGCAAGGAUGGCGUUAUCGGGCCUCUGAUGGCAAAAGUUAAAAAAUCUCCUUGGAGGUGGGCCAGGAGCCAUGAUUUAGAUUCUGAGUUGAUGCCUCCCACUUACAAUACAUUAUUUAGCAAUACAACUACAGGCUUGCUGGUGUUCCCCUGAAGAAGCAUGCAUGGCAAGUCAUGCUUACCAUGGAAAUCCUGUCAGCUCCAUCCUCAACAUGAAUCCAGAAUCUGGCCACGAAUGUACCCAGAGUCCUACUGCUUUGUCACUUCUGCUGUGACUAUCCUGGUUUCAGCCACCAUCACCUCUUGCUGGGAUUAUAGCAAUGUCCUCAUUGCUCCUCCAGCUCUCCUCUUGCACCUCAAAACCUAUUGUCUACACUGCAGUCACAGUGUGUACCACAGUGUAGGUUAGAACAUGUCAGAUUGCAACUCUGCAGUAGCUCCCUUGUCCUCAGGAUGCAGUGCUCCUGAGGUCCCACGUGACCUGGGUCCCUCCAGGCUUGCCUCACUCACUCAUCUCCAGGCACUACUUUUACUCAGGGCCCUUUCACUUUCUCUUUCCUUGUCUGGAACCAGCUCUCCUCAUUAUCUACAUGGUUUACUCCUUAGCUGCUCAGAUAGUAGCAAAGAGUCCUUCCCUAACCCCCAAUGUACCCCUUCCAUAUUCCUCAUCCUCCUCACUGUUGUAGUUUUCAUCAUAGUACAUAUCAUUGCUUUUAUGAUAUUUGCAGAAGAAUGAAACUUUAAGAGGACAGUUUUCUACUUUUAGUUCUUUGAGGUA